rnacentral:miRNA from 4 species
CCAAUAUUGGCUGUGCUGCUCCA